CAGCCGCCACGGGAAUACGAGGGGAGCUAGCGUUGUUCGGAAUUACUGGGCGUAAAGCGCGCGUAGGCGGCUUUUUAAGUCAGAGGUGAAAGCCCGGGGCUCAACCCCGGAAUUGCCUUUGAAACUGGAAAGCUAGAAUCUUGGAGAGGUCAGUGGAAUUCCGAGUGUAGAGGUGAAAUUCGUAGAUAUUCGGAAGAACACCAGUGGCGAAGGCGACUGACUGGACAAGUAUUGACGCUGAGGUGCGAAAGCGUGGGGAGCAAACAGGAUUAGAUACCCCGGUAGUCCCUGUCUCUUAUAU
rnacentral:rRNA from 1 species